GCCUCUCCUCUCUAGCUGCCUCGAGAUCUUCAGAUGACAUCAAGCUGAUACCCUUGAUCCGUUCUUCAAGCAGUUGCUUUAGUUUCUCAUCUUCUUCCCCUAAUCCGCCAUCAUUUGCACCUUUCUUAUCUCGAGCAAGCUCAAGAAGGCCCCGAAGUGCAGCCUCUCGCACCUCAGCAUCUUCACUUGAUGCAAGGUGCAA
rnacentral:misc_RNA from 1 species